rnacentral:lncRNA from 1 species
UCAAUCUCUCUCUUCACUCUUUCAUAUUUGUUUUUAUUUUCUCUCUAUAGUUGUUCUUUCUGCCACCAAAAUCACUAAUGGUCUCUUCUUGCACUAUUGAUACGUUGAUAGAUAUUAUUUGUUGUGAACUAUAAAUCUUUUUCUUCUUCAUUUAUUCCAUCGACCAAAAUCUUAGCCUCCAAAAUUCAAUCGACGCUGGCGUUUUGCUUCUUUAUCAUCUCUGUAAAUCCAAAUCCACUUGUUGAAUGUAGAUUUGGCUGAUUCGAUCUGCGUGUAUCAAUUGAAGAUCCGUUUAGGGACAGAAAGAUAAACACAUCGGUCUGAAGUUUCCUCUUCCUUCCAUAUGUUAUCACGCACAAUUUUUUUUUCCUUUUAGAUUUUGUGGGAAGAACAAGGAAAAUGGUCUUUGAUCCCGCUGAUUAAAGGUUUCCAGUCAAUAAGGUUUUGAUAAUCAAUAGAUUCGGGGAAAUGGGUAUUUGAUAAAAUUGGAAAAUUUGGAUGUACGAGUCUUUGAUUUUGUUAUUCGAUCCUACUUUUCCCUACUAUAUAAAAAGGGCAAUGUUU